UACGGAGGGGCUACGCGUGUUCGGUGAAUUACUGGGCGUAAAGCGCGCGUAGGCGGACCUGCAAGUCGGGGGUGAAAGCCCGAGGCUCAACCUCGGAACUGCCUUCGAUACUGCGGGUCUCGAGUCCGGGAGAGGUGAGUGGAAUUCCUAGUGUAGAGGUGAAAUUCGUAGAUAUUAGGAAGAACACCAGUGGCGAAGGCGGCUCACUGGCCCGGUACUGACGCUGAGGCGCGAAAGCGUGGGGAGCAAACAGG
rnacentral:rRNA from 1 species